UACGUAGGGUGCGAGCGUUAAUCGGAAUUACUGGGCGUAAAGCGUGCGCAGGCGGCUUUGCAAGACAGAUGUGAAAUCCCCGGGCUCAACCUGGGAACUGCAUUUGUGACUGCAAGGCUUGAGUGCGGCAGAGGGGGGAUGGAAUUCCGCGUGUAGCAGUGAAAUGCGUAGAUAUGCGGAGGAACACCGAUGGCGAAGGC
rnacentral:rRNA from 1 species